rnacentral:lncRNA from 1 species
AGGCCAAGAAAUAUUGAUGAAAGUAAAGGUCAAAGUCAAUUUAACGCACUAAAAAAGACAACUAAAAACGCACGGAAAAUCCCGACAUGAUGAUCAAGACAUUUUCAUUUUAUUGCCUUUUAAAUUGCUAAGUUUGCAAAUGCAGAUUGUAAUGUUGGAACAGAGGAUAUUUGAUAAUGUAGAUAUGCAAAAUAUGUGCCACAAGGAGAAAAUCAUCCCAGAUGUAAUUCAGUACGCUCCUGUUCAUUUGUUGCAGCUAGGAUGGGAGGAUAAUGUCAAAGCUGAAUUGGGGAACAACCUGUUCAAAUACGAGGUGUUCCACGAGCCAACGUUGUAUUGGCCGCAUGAAGAUAACCUAUUUUAUACUUUAAUUUUUGUCGGUGAGGAUACCCAUUUGCGUCUUCAAUUAAAAUUCAAAAUCGUUUUAAGAACUCUCUCGUGGGAAAAUAUAGAUGCUCAGUCAUGUCUCUAAAAAAAUGGAUUUACUCCUCAGGUGCGUUGAGAAAAAUGUCUCCGUAGAUCUAAGUGGAGACCUUUCGCUCGAUCAGUUACACAAAAACCUGUCUGACAUUGGUCAAAUGAUGACGAGAUAUAUUUUUCUCUAAUUUUUAUCGGUGAGACAUUUAUUGCAGCAUUUAAAUUGUAAGAGACUAUGAACGGAAUGUCAAAUUGUAAUAGUUAAGCUUUAAAAUUGGAUAGCGAUUUAUAUAAUUUCAAAAAGUGAAAGUGAGAACUGGAGUGAAAAAAGGUAUAAUAUUAGGUAAACAUCCUUGAUGGGUCAACAUUUACACAUCAACAGUUUUCUUUGCAACUUUGUUGCGGCACUGAAAUAAGUUGUUGUUAUCGCGACCGAAAGAAUAUUCUGAAAAUUUAAGGAAGCUCGAGCUACUCAUUUGUGAAUCCCUUUACACAGACAAAAGCGUUAUGGGUUAUCCCCUAAAAUUGUGGUGCCCCCCUAUUUGUGCGAUGAUUGGGGAUUUCCCCAAAAAAAAAAAUUGAAAUACCAAUUUUUUAACCCAUUUAAUUGGGUAGUAUCCACCGUAGCCCAAUAAAAAUGUCAAGAUCAUCUAACAACCCCCCCCUUUUUCGGUGUACGAGAGAUGUGAGCAAGUAAAACAUACGUUUCUUAUAUUAAACGAACAAAUAUUUUGUUGCAUAAGCUCAUGCUUUAAAAUAAAUCCCCGCUCGGAACAUGAUUAUCUCCCUCCAGUGUAAGUUGAACCAGAUAUUUAAUAAAACUGUAUUAAAAUGGGUAAUUAAGUUUUUUUUUUAAAUUUUAAAUUUCUACUCUUUUUAAAUAAACUCUAUCGUUAAGUUUACUAGCUUUCUGUGUGUUUAAAAAAGAAGAAGAAAAAAGGUGUUUAAUCAGCAUCUUGAAUGAUUUAAAAAUCUGGAUAUGAUAAAACCACCCCACCACUCGAGGAACAAAGGAAUAAUAUGUUAAUCAACCGUGGGCCUAUUUUUAGACGAGAACAGUCAAACACUAUUCAAAUUUUAAAAAUUGUUCAAAUGUUUUUUUAUUUCGGUGAAAUAAGUUUUCACUGUGAGAGAAAUACGAAAGAAGAGAGGAGAGAAAAAAACGCUAAAAAUAAAACCGAAGAAUUAUCUGUUUUUUCACGUUCCAAUGCAUGUUUCAUUCCUUAAAAUUGGUAUCAUAUUUUUCAUCCUAAUUAGGUUACAAUUUUAACGUUUGUUACCAGGCCAAACGAUAUGGUUCGGCAAAAGUUUCGACCGCCGAUUUCACAAAAAACCAUGCUUACGGAGUGCCAUUUGCAGCUAACUGGUUCCGAAUAAACUGGGGAUCAUUCAACAACAGAUCUUGAUGGCAAUACCUCUCAGUGGCAAGGCGUAAAUGAUCGAUUAUCGAUUCCCCCAUUUGAAGCUGUAGUAAGAAUCGAUCAUUAAGGUGCUCGCUGCGAACAUCCUGUUUAUCGAUCCAUUUUCAUAGGUUUAAACGCAUGACAGACGAAGCGAUAUAUCGCAAAGUACGCCACGCUACUGAUGCUUUGGUCCAGAGUGUUUAAAGUGUUUGCUUUUUUUGUAAAGUAUGAAAAAGUUGAACGAAAGUGUAAAUUAUAUUUAGUGCAGAAUGAAAGAAAAUAAAGACCACCGUGAUAUCUUUUUUAUGCUUCUUUCUUGAUAAAUCUCAAGUUACGCUAUAUAAUACCUGUAAAAUAAUCGAUUAUUUGCAUAUUGAUUAAUGCUGUUAGAGGCAAAGUCAAGAAGAUGGUCUGCAGAAAAAAUUAGAAUAAUUUAGAAAUACACUCUCAUCUCAUAAAUCCAAAAAUUUGGAGACUAAAUUCAACUUCAUUGAAGCAACGUGAGUGGACCCAGCCCUGCAUGCGCGUUGAUGAUCACGGACAAUGUACCCAUAUCCAGUUUAUCGAGACCAUCAAGUGAUCUCUCAAUGUCAAUGACUUGUGACCUACUUUACUGAGUGUAAUUUUCAUAAGAGACAGAGCUUGAUUCUAUAUCCUACAUUCUAUAUUUUAUUUUCUAUUUCAUAUAUCUACAUAAAUUCAAAUAAUUUCUCCUUAUUUUCAUGAUUGUGUGAAAAAAUUGUGGAAACAAUACUCAUCAUUUGAUUCCACUCAUUACAUGUCAUCCUUUAGAAACCACGUUAGCCAUCGAAGCACCAAAAAUAUAAGACAACGGAACAAACACAUCACGGAAAUUGAGCACGGAAAGGACGCG